rnacentral:rRNA from 1 species
GGCCCCGCACAAGCGGUGGAGCAUGUGGUUUAAUUCGAUGAUACGCGAGGAACCUUACCAGGGCUUAAAUGUAGUGGGACAGGUCUAGAGAUAGACCCUUCUUCGGACUCAUUACAAGGUGCUGCAUGGUUGUCGUCAGCUCGUGCCGUGAGUGUCAGGUUAAGUCCUAUAACGAGCGCAACCCCUAUCGUUAGUUGCCAGCGAGUAAUGUCGGGAACUCUAACGAAACUGCCAGUGCAAACUGUGAGGAAGGUGGGGGAUGACGUCAAAUCAUCACGGCCCUUACGUCCUGGGCUACACACGUGCUACAAUGGCCGGUACAGAGAGCAGCCACUUCGCAAGAAGGAGCG